AGAAGUAUGACACUCACAGUGAAAGCACAAAACAUCAAGCCAACAGUUCAGGACUAGUCAUUCAAAUGGACUAAAGGUGGGGGAGAAAAAAUAAGAGUGGAUAAAAGAAAGAAAGAAAACAGAGAAAGGUGGGAAAAAAAAAACAAAGGAAGGAAGAGAGAAAAGAGAAUGAGAGGAAGAGAAGGAAGGGGAAAAACAAGAUUGACUUUACAGUAUGAGAUAUACUAUUAUAUAUUGGACCCUUGG
rnacentral:lncRNA from 1 species